rnacentral:rRNA from 1 species
ACUAACGGGUGGCAGCAGUGGGGAAUAUUGGACAAUGGGCGAAAGCCUGAUCCAGCCAUGCCGCGUGUGUGAAGAAGGCCUUCGGGUUGUAAAGCACUUUCAGUGGGGAAGAAAGCCUUGGGGCUAAUACCCUCGAGGAAGGACAUCACCCACAGAAGAAGCACCGGCUAACUCCGUGCCAGCAGCCGCGGUAAUACGGAGGGUGCGAGCGUUAAUCGGAAUUACUGGGCGUAAAGCGCGCGUAGGCGGUCUGAUAAGCCGGUUGUGAAAGCCCCGGGCUCAACCUGGGAACGGCAUCCGGAACUGUCAGGCUAGAGUGCAGGAGAGGAAGGUAGAAUUCCCGGUGUAGCGGUGAAAUGCGUAGAGAUCGGGAGGAAUACCAGUGGCGAAGGCGGCCUUCUGGACUGACACUGACGCUGAGGUGCGAAAGCGUGGGUAGCAAACAGGAUUAGAUACCCUUGUAGUC